UACGGGGGGAGCAAGCGUUGUUCGGAUUUACUGGGCGUAAAAGGCGCGUAGGCGGCCACCGCAAGUCGGUUGUGAAAUCUCUGGGCUUAACCCAGAAAGGUCAACCGAUACUGCGGGGCUAGAGUGCAGAAGGGGCAACUGGAAUUCUCGGUGUAGCGGUGAAAUGCGUAGAUAUCGAGAGGAACACCUGCGGCGAAGGCGGGUUGCUGGGCUGACACUGACGCUGAAGCGCGAAAGCUAGGGGAGCGAACGGG
rnacentral:rRNA from 1 species